rnacentral:rRNA from 1 species
UACGUAGGGGGCAAGGCGUUGUCCGGAUUUAUUUGGGCGUAAAGAGCGUGUAGGCGGCCAGACAGGUCAGCUGUGAAAACUCGAGGCUCAACCUCGAGACGUCGGUUGAAACCGUCUGGCUAGAGUCCGGAAGAGGAGAGUGGAAUUCCCGGUGUAGCGGUGAAAUGCGCAGAUAUCGGGAAGAACACCCGUGGCGAAGGCGGCUCUCUGGGACGGUACUGACGCUGAGACGCGAAAGCGUGGGGAGCGAACAGG